rnacentral:lncRNA from 1 species
AUCAAAGUGGCCUGGAGUAGUAAAGGGAGUUGUCAAUGUUUUUAUAUUUAGAUAGACAAAGUGAAAUGGAAUCUUUUAAAAAGUACUCUAAGCUAGCGUAAGGAGACACCAUUACAUUUUCAAUAUGCUAGGUCAGAUAAAGGCAAAGUCCUUCUUGACCGAGGAUGUAACAAAGAGGCAGUCAGAAUGUUGGGAGAAGAACCUUGAGCAUGCAGUGUCAUGACCGUCAAGGGAAAAAAGAGCAGCAAAAGGCUAUAUUGGUCAUAUUUUGAAGAGGAGUCAAUUGAAGAUGAGAAAUGAUUCAAGAUACUGGAUCUGAAGAAAACAACAACAACAACAAAAAGAUUAACUUUGUGAGGGAGCAGUUUCAGUAAAGUAGUAGAAGUGAAAGUCAGAUUGCAAAAAACUGAGGAGUGAGAUUAUAAAGGCAGUAGUAAAUGCAAAACUAUUUGACACAGGAGUUUGUCAGUGAAGGAUAAGAAAGAGAGAGAAAAAUAGCUGGACUUGUUUUUUGAUUAGGAGAAGACCUGGACCUGUUAGUAUGCUAAGGGGAAGAAAUUAGUGGAUAUGAACAAGUAGAAAACAAAAUAAAGCAAACACUCACAAGAACCAAACAACUAUAUAAUAUGGACAACAUUAUGUUUUUUCAAUAUAACUUCAGAAGGUCAAGACACCCAGUUACCAUUGGCAGCAGGUUUACACCCACUAGAGGAGAAAGCUUGGAAGACUAAAGACUUCAGGGAACACCCUUUUCCAUUUCAACCCAAGGGGCCCAUUCCUUCCUUAAUAUGGAAAAAAAAUCAAGUAUGCUCCGUCCUACAUAGGUUAUUUACUCCAGACAUCCAUAUGACGACAAUAGACUAUCUACAGCAACUUUUGAGCCAUUUGGAAAAAACAGCUCCAACGAAUAUUUAUUCUUCAUUCCUAAGAGAUGACUUGAAUCUUCAGUGCUUUGACAAGAGGAGAGACAGAAAGAGAGACAAACAAACAGACAGAGAUGGAUAUGGAUAAUCAGCUGACCUGGCAAAGAUAAAAAUACAAAACCUUUGAUUAUAGAUCCUCGGGAUCCAGAUAAAUACUCCAAAGUGCUGGUGGACCAACUUAAAGUAUCUUCUGUAGUGAAGAAGGCAAAGCAGCAGAAAUAUUAUCGAGUAGCCUGCUUGUUAAAUGGACUUAUUGAUAUCUUGUUCAGUCCUGAGGAGCUGGCAAGUUCCCGUCAAUCAAGCCUGAAAGGGGAGUUUCCGAAAAAGAAAGAAGAUAAACUAGAAAAAGUUAAAAUUUUAGCUUGUGAAGAAUUUAUCAAGCAAACUUGCAAUAAGGAAGGGUGGAAGGAACCAAGCCAAAGGGAGUUCCAAAAAAUUUUCACAGCCAAGAUAGACAAUGCCCGUUGGAAUAUAAGACACGCCAUGCAAAAAGCUGCCUGAAGAUGUGCCCUUCUUUCUUCUCACCAUUCUACUAUGUAAUACUUUGGCUCAAAGGAAAGUCAGACAAUUAAAUAAGGGAAGUGCUGUAAUUUCUUGCUGUGCAAAUAGAAAGACAAAUUUAUUUUCUCUCAAAUAUCUUGUAAGACAAUCCACAAUGUAUAAGCAUAUCCCAAAUCAUAUUUCUUAUUCUGUCAAAUAGUUUGUAUAAUGUUGGGAUUAGUUGUUCUUUGAAUGUUUGAUAGAAUUCAUUUGUGAAUCCAUCAGAAUCUGGGGAUUUAUUCUUAGGGAGUCCUUUGAUGGCUUGUUCAAUUUCUUUUUCUGAUAUGGGGUUGUUUAGGUUGUCUAAGUCUUCCUCUGUUAGUCUAGGCAAUUUAUAUUUUUGUAAAUGUUCAUAUCACAUAGAUUGCCAUAUUUAUUGCCAUAUAAUUGGAAAUAAUAGUUUUUAAUGAUUGUCUUAAUUUCCUCUUCAUUAGAGGUGAGGCCUCCCUUUUCAUCUUGGAUACUGUCAAUUUGGUUUUCAUCUUUUCUUUUUAAAAUUAGAUUGACCAGUACUUUGUCUAUUUUAUUUGUUUCUUUUAAAAGUACCAGUUUCUAGUCUUAUUUAUUAAAUCAAUAGUUCUUUGACUUUCAAUUUUAUUAAUUUCUCCUUUGGUUUUUAGGAUCUCUAAUUUAGUCUUUAUCUGAAGAUUUUUAAUUUGUUCACUUUCUAGUGUUUUAAUAUGCAUGCCCAAUUCAUUGACCUCUGCUCUUCCUAAUUUGUUUAAUAUAUGAACUCAAGGAUAUAAAUUUCCCCUUGAGUACUGCUGUGGCUGUAUCCCAGAGAUUUUGAAAGGAUGUCUUAUCAUUGUCAUUUUCUUCAAAAAACUUAUUGUUUCUAUGAUUUGAUCUUUAAUGGAUUUUGGAGAAUUGUAUCGUUUAAUUUCCAAUUAAUUUUUUAUUUGCCUCUCCAUGUACCCUUACUUAUUAAUAUUUUCAUUGCAUUGAGGUCUUCUUUCACUAUUUCCUUAUACACCAGUGUUUUGUUUUAAAUCAGUCCCCCUAAACCCCACCCUUAUUUUUUCUUCCCUUUCUACCCCCUCCCUUCUUAUUCCCCUCUUAUUUUCUUUACAGUCUUUUUAAACUAUCCCUUCCUUCCCUUGUAUUGCCCCUCCCCAGUCUGUUUGUUACCCUUCUACUUCCUUAUAGGGUGCAAAUCAAGUCUCUGCCCCAAUGUAUUUGAUUUUUCUUCCCUCUUUUAGUCGAUUUUAAUGCAUGGAAGAGUUGGGUAUUUCCUAUCUCCAACCUCUUUAUCCUUCCAGUGUAUUGAUGCUCUCACCCCCUCCCACCAUGCGCUUCUUUGUGACAUAUAAAUUGACCACAUUUUGUUUCUUUUCCCAUUUCUCUUAAUAUUAACCUCUUUUUUAAAACUCUAGUUGUAUACAUACACAUAUAUACAGAACUAGAUAAUAUAUAUACAGAACUAGAUAAAUCAAACCAAAUAUAUAUAUAUACACAUAUGUAUGAAUUUAUGCAUACAUAUAUCUAUAUACAUAUUUGUGUCUUGGCAUUUCAUCCUAUACAGUUUGUCACUGUUCCCUCUAAGUAUAAUUCUUCUAGCUACCCAGGUGAUAAUAACAAUUUUUAAGAGUUAUCAAUGUCCUCUUUUCUUAUAGGGAUACAUAUCAUUUUAAUUUAUUGAAUCUUUAAGAAAAGUUUUUUUGUUUUGUUUUGUUUUUCUUACCCCCCCCCCUUCUUAAUUACCUCUUGAUGAUUCUCUUGAGUUCUGUAUUUGGGCAUCAAUAUUCUGUUUAGGUCUGGUAUUUUCUUUACAAAUGCUUGGAAUUCUUUUAUUUUGUUAAAUGACCAUACUUUCCCCAGUAAGAAUAUAGUCAGUUUUGCUGGGUAGAUGAUUCUUGGUUGUAGGCCUUGUUCCCUUGCUUUCUGGAAUAUCAUAUUCCAUGCCUUUAGGUCCUUCAAUGUAGAUGCAGCCAGAUCCUGUGUUAUCCUCACUGUGGUUCCAUGGUAUGUGAAUGACUUCUUAGCAGCUUGAAAUAUUUUUUCCUUGGUCCGAUAGUUCUUGAAUUUGGCUAUAACCUUCCUGGGUGUUGUCAGUUGGGCAUUACCACAUCAUAUUUCUUAAACCAAUAUAAUUUCCUUAUAACAUCCUAAUACACUUCCACCCAACUUAUUGUGGGGUAACAUCCAACAGAGUUGUCCUUGGUGUCAGGAAGACUUGAAUUCAAGUUUUAAAACAUACUGACUGUGUGACUAUUGUGACUAUUAAGUCAUCAGGGACAAAGGCAACUUUCUAAAAUGUGUCCAGGUCUCUGUCCUGGUUUCUCCUCUUUAUAUAUAAUUUCACCAGAUGAUCUCAUCAGGUCCCAUGAAUUCAAUUAUCAUCUCCUAUCAGAUUAUUAUCAGAUUGAUCUAUCUUGUCCUAAUUUUUUUCUUCACCCCCAAUCUUAUAUCUUCAACUACCUAUUAGAUAUCUCAAAAUAGAUGCCACAUAUCCACUCUAAAUUCCACAAAUCUAAAACUGAAUUUAUUUUUUCUCCUUCUGAUUUCCCUGAUACUGUCAAGGACACUGCCAUCUUUUCAGUCACUCCUGAUCACAUGCAGUUGUAAUUUUCAACUCCUAAGAUCAUUUAUCUCCCAAAUCGAAUCUGUUGCUGAGUUCUGCUGAUUUUGCCUUCAACAUUCUCAUGCAUUCCUCUCCACCUUCUCUUUUCUGAUACUGUGAUUGCCUUGGAAUAGGCCUUCAUCACCUCACACCUAGACCUUGGAAAUAGCUUUCUGGCCUCCCUACAUCAAAUGUGUUCUUGCUCUAGUUCAUUCUCCAUUCAGCUGUCAAAGUAAUCUUCCUAAAAUGCUGGCCUGAACAUGGCACACAUCCCGAAUCAGUAAACUCCAGUAACUUCCUAUCACCUCUAGUUUCAAAUAUGAAAUCUUCUAGAGUUCAUAACUCCCACCCAUCGCCCUUUUCAGUUCUCUUUCUUUUUUAUUAAACCUUCACGUUCUCUUAGGAUUGAUUCUAAAUAUUGGUUCCAAGGUAUAAGAUCAGUAAGGACCAGGCAAUUAAUGUUACCUAGGGCCACAAAACUUGGAAGUGUCUGAGGUUAGAAUUGAACCAAGGUCCUUCUCACUUCAGGUCUGGCUCUCUAACCAUUGUACCAUCUAGCUGACCCUCCACUUGUCUUUUGUUUUAUACUCCAUCACACAGUGACAAUGACCUUCCUUGCUGGGUCCUGAAUAAGAAAUUCUAUCUCCAGUUUGGGACAUUUUAACUGGAUGUGUGCCAUUCCUGGAAUUCCCUCCUUCUUCUUCUCUGUCUCCUGGAUUAUCUGGCUUUUCUCAAAUCUUAGCUAAAAUCUCAUCUUCUGUAAAACCUUUCUCAAUCUCCCGUAGUGCUAAUGCCUUUCCUCUAUUGCAUAUCUCCACUCUCCCCUGUAUAUAUCUUGUAUGAACAUAGUUCUUUUCAUAGUAUCUCCCGCAUUAGAUUGUGAGCAUCUUGAGGCCUUUUUUGGUAUCUCUAGUUUUUUUAGCACAGCUCCUGGCACAUAGUAGGUACAUAAGAAUGCUUAUUGUUGAUUGACUGAUGACCUUCACUGGUAGAAGGAUUUUCUUCCCUAGAGAUCUCCUUUUACAGAUGAAAUCAGGAAUGUAAAAAAAAAGUCUAUUAACAACAGUAGCAGAGCAACUCUACAGUAACAGCACAAAACCACUGACACAUUCUCCAUCAUCAACAUAGGAAUCAGGUGGGUGACAAUGACUUAGACUACCUUAAAACUCCAUAACAUUAACCUCAUUCUCAAACAAUCCCACUGUUUCUCCUCUUUAAAAUAAAACAUUGUUCCCAUGGGAGUAUCUCUUUCCU